rnacentral:rRNA from 1 species
CCGAUAGGUGAAGAACUCUGGAAUGAGUCUUCGCCCAAAAGGCGUCGGAUCAUGCUUUCGGCGUCGCCCAAGGAUGGGGCCGCGACCGAUCAGGUUGUUGGUGAGGUAACGGCCCACCAAGCCUAUAACCGGUGCGGGCCGUGAGAGCGGGAGCCCGGAGAUGGGCACUGAGACAAGGGCCCAGGUCCUACGGGGCGCAGCAGUCGCGAAACCUUUGCAAUACACGAAAGUGUGACAGGGUCAUCCCGAGUGCCGACCGCUGAGGUUGGCUUUUACCCAGUCUAGAAAGCUGGGGGAAUAAGGAGAGGGCAAGUCUGGUGUCAGCCGCCGCGGUAAUACCAGCUCUCCGAGUGGUGUGGACGUUUAUUGGGCCUAAAGCAUCCGUAGCUGGCUGAUCAAGUCCCCUGUUAAACCCACCGAUUUAAUCGUUGGCUUGCGGGGGAUACUGCUCGGCUAGGGGACGAGAGAGGCAGACGGUAUUCCCGGGGUAGGGGUGAAAUCCUAUAAUCCCGAGAAGACCACCAGUGGCGAAGGCUGUCUGCUAGAACGCGCCCGACGGUGAGGGAUGAAAGCUGGGGGAGCGAACCGGAUUAGAUACCCGGGUAGUCCCAGCUGUAAACGAUGCAGGCUAGGUGUUUGGACGGCCACGCGCCGUUCUAGUGCCGCAGGGAAGCUGUUAAGCCUGCCGCCUGGGGAGUACGAUCGCAAGAUUGAAACUUAAAGGAAUUGGCGGGGGAGCACA